GAUGAACGCUGGCGGCGUGCCUAAUACAUGCAAGUCGAGCGAACAGAUGAGGAGCUUGCUCCUCUGACGUUAGCGGCGGACGGGUGAGUAACACGUGGAUAACCUACCUAUAAGACUGGGAUAACUUCGGGAAACCGGAGCUAAUACCGGAUAAUAUAUUGAACCGCAUGGUUCAAUAGUGAAAGACGGUUUUGCUGUCACUUAUAGAUGGAUCCGCGCCGCAUUAGCUAGUUGGUAAGGUAACGGCUUACCAAGGCAACGAUGCGUAGCCGACCUGAGAGGGUGAUCGGCCACACUGGAACUGAGACACGGUCCAGACUCCUACGGGAGGCAGCAGUAGGGAAUCUUCCGCAAUGGGCGAAAGCCUGACGGAGCAACGCCGCGUAAGUGAUGAAGGUCUUCGGAUCGUAAAACUCUGUUAUUAGGGAAGAACAAAUGUGUAAGUAACUAUGCACGUCUUGACGGUACCUAAUCAGAAAGCCACGGCUAACUACGUG
rnacentral:rRNA from 1 species